UACGGAGGGUCCAAGCGUUAUCCGGAAUCAUUGGGUUUAAAGGGUCCGUAGGCGGUUUUGUAAGUCAGUGGUGAAAGCCCAUCGCUCAACGGUGGAACGGCCAUUGAUACUGCAAGACUUGAAUUAUUGGGAAGCAACUAGAAUAUGUAGUGUAGCGGUGAAAUGCUUAGAGAUUACAUGGAAUACCAAUUGCGAAGGCAGGUUGCUGCCAAUAUAUUGACGCUGAUGGACGAAAGCGUGGGGAGCGAACAGG
rnacentral:rRNA from 1 species